GACGAACCGUGCAACCGUUAUUCGGAAUCACUGGGCAUAAAGGGCGCGUAGGCGGCUUUCUAAGUCAGGGGUGAAAUCCGGCAGCUCAACUGUCGCAGUGCCUUUGAUACUGGAGAGCUCGAGGGAGGUAGGGGUCUGUGGAACUUCCGGUGGAGCGGUGAAAUGCGUUGAUAUCGGAAGGAACGCCGGUGACGAAAGCGACGGACUGGAUCUCUUCUGACGCUGAGGCGCGAAAGCCAGGGGAGCAAACGGG
rnacentral:rRNA from 1 species